rnacentral:rRNA from 1 species
GACGAACGCUGGCGGCGUGCCUAAUACAUGCAAGUAGAACGCUGAAGAGAGGAGCUUGCUCUUCUUGGAUGAGUUGCGAACGGGUGAGUAACGCGUAGGUAACCUGCCUGGUAGCGGGGGAUAACUAUUGGAAACGAUAGCUAAUACCGCAUAAAAUUGAUUAUUGCGUGAUAAUUAAUUGAAAGAUGCAACUGCAUCACUACCAGAUGGACCUGCGUUGUAUUAGCUAGUUGGUGAGGUAACGGCUCACCAAGGCGACGAUACAUAGCCGACCUGAGAGGGUGGUCGGCCCACCUGGGACUGGGACACGGCCCAGACUCCUUCGGGAGGCAGCAGUAGGGAAUCUUCGGCCAUGGGGGGAACCCUUACCGAGGAACGCCGCGGGAGUGAAGGAGGUUUUCGGAUCGUAAAGCUCUGUUGUAAGGGAAGAACGGGUGUGAGAGUGGAACGUUCACACUGUGACGGUAUCUUACCAGAAAGGGACGGCUAACUACGUG